rnacentral:rRNA from 1 species
UGGGGAAUAUUGGACAAUGGGGGGAACCCUGAUCCAGCGAUGCCGCGUGUGUGAAGAAGGCCUGAGGGUUGUAAAGCACUUUUAGUGGGGAGGAGGGCUUACAGGUUAAGAGCUAGUGAGUUGGACGUUACCCACAGAAAAAGCACCGGCUAACUCCGUGCCAGCAGCCGCGGUAAUACGGAGGGUGCGAGCGUUAAUCGGAAUGACUGGGCGUAAAGGGUGCGUAGGUGGUUAAAUAAGUUAUAGGUGAAAUCAUAGGGCUCAACCUUGUGUGGAAUUAUAAUACUGUUUAACUAGAGUAUAGGAGAGGGCAGUGGAAUUUCCGGUGUAGCGGUGAAAUGCGUAGAGAUCGGAAGGAACACCAGUUGCGAAGGCGGCUGCCUGGCCAUAUACUGACACUGAGUCACGAAAGCGUGGGUAGCAAACAGG